UCGCUCUCGCGGUCGCCGGUACCACCUACAGCCAAGCCUCCGGCCGCCGUCCCACCCUCAGGCCGCGAGAUCUGCGUGGGAUGAGGAGGCCGCGCUUGAGAAGCGCACCUGCGCAGUCCGCACGCCGGCCGGCAGCUCGGCGAGGGCUGGGAGGGGCCUGACGCGCCCACAACUUGGGCGGGGCCAGAUCAUUUGCCCACCUGCCUCUGGGAGGACGUCUUGAAGGCCGCCAGGCUGUGCUUGUCAGAUGCUGAGGAAGCACUGUUGGGGGCCCCUGGUCUCAGAAGUUUUGUCAGCCUGACUUCUCGAGAGAUACCACCAGAAGAACUAUGUCUACCUCGGUGUUUCUCCCAGAAUGAAUGCUGUGUCCCCCAGUUCCAGGCCGUGCACUUUCCUUUGAACAUCCGUCUGCAUCCUACAUCCCUGCCCCUCUGCCCACAUGCCGCUCCUUCCUGUUUAGCUUGGAUAGCAGGCUGGCUCUGGCCAUCAGAACCAUUGCUGACCUUGGCUGUCUUCACCUGCUGGGCAGACACAAAGUGAGGCCAACAUCUGGACCCAGAGGAGAAAUUAGAGGCCAUUUGUGGAAGCACUCAGGAGGCCGGAAGGCCUCUGUCCAAGGCCAAAACACCACACCAUUGUUUUCCAGUUCCAAACAGGAAGGGAACCUGGGUGUGCUUGGGCAAAGGAAAGGGAACCUGAGGUGGAUGUAAGUGUGGCAAGUGAUCUCGAGUUAAAAAGGGGCCACAGUUUCUUCUAAUAAACAGCGUAUACUGUUCUGUAUCCUGAUAUGCGUGACUAACCUCCGCAUCUUUGGUCCUCAGAAACCUUUCACAGGCUCAUUUUUCCCCCUUUCUGUUUUUAAAGACCGGAUCUCAAGUUCUCCACGAUGGCUUUGAACUUCCUAAGUAGCCAAGGAUGACCUUGACCUUCCUGUCCCCUCCUCCCAAGUGCUAGGAUUCCUCGAAUAGCAUUCCCUGCUACUCCUGACUGGGUGUGCGACUUUCUCCUUCUGUCCCGUGUCUGAGAAUGUAUGCAUUUGUAUGCAAAG
rnacentral:lncRNA from 1 species